rnacentral:lncRNA from 7 species
AUUCUACGUGGAAGCUUGGUUUUGUGCAGGGCAGGCACGUACCCACCAUUAAUGCACACCGAGGCAGAGGAUGUCUUCUGCUAGUGCUAGGUUUGUCAACGGAUAGUCCCCUCGUCGCCUUACGGCUCACAGCAUGUACCGCCUCUGCUUUCCUCUCAUACACACACUGCACGCCGUACUUGCUUGCUCCGAUAGAUGCAUGGACUAAGAUAAGACGUUUACAUAGUUUUCUUUCACUCACGUUAAACUCAAAUCAAACAAC